rfam:Oryza brachyantha chromosome 2, whole genome shotgun sequence.
UUUAUUUUUCCAUGCCCAACGUUCGAUCAUUCGUCUUAUUUAAAAAAUUUAUAAAAAACUUAAAAAAAUUAGUCACAUAUAAAGUAGUAUUCAUAUUUUAUCAUCUAGUAACAAUAAAAAUAUUAAUCACAAAAAAAUUUCAAAUAAGAUGAAUGGUCAAACUUUGGACAUGAAAAUCGAAAAAUAAGGUUAUU